CAUGCUAGAAUGCGCCGUUCAUUGGGGAGUAGCCGCUUCGCUCGAUGCCGCGCCACCCGGCGCGCUCGUGACGAAGGCGUCCGUCAACAGACUUGGCCUCGCGGCCAUGGCGGACGCAGCCCGCAAGGCCUGGCGAGACCGAUGGUUCAUCGCGCGCCGCAAUCGGGCC
rfam:Burkholderia sp. TSV86 TSV86_65, whole genome shotgun sequence.